UAGGGAAUUUUCGUCAAUGGGGGGAACCCUGAACGAGCAAUGCUGCGUGAGUGAGGAAGGUCUUCGGAUCGUAAAGCUCUGUUGUAAGAGAAAAACGACAUUCAUAGGGAAUGAUGAGUGAGUGAUGGUAUCUUACCAGAAAGUCACGGCUAACUACGUGCCAGCAGCCGCGGUAAUACGUAGGUGGCGAGCGUUAUCCGGAAUGAUUGGGCGUAAAGGGUGCGUAGGUGGCAGAACAAGUCUGGAGUAAAAGGUAUGGGCUCAACCCGUACUGGCUCUGGAAACUGUUCAGCUAGAGAACAGAAGAGGACGGCGGAACUCCAUGUGUAGCGGUAAAAUGCGUAGAUAUAUGGAAGAACACCGGUGGCGAAGGCGGAUUACUGGACGACCACUGACGCUGAGACACGAAAGCGUGGGGAGCAAACAGGAUUAGAUACCCUGGUAGUCCACGCUGUAAACGAUGAAUGCUAGGUGUGGGUGCGAUAGCAUCCGUGCCGCAGUUAACACAAUAAGUAUCCCACCUGGGGAGUACGAUCGCAAGGUUGAAACUCAAAGGAAUUGACGGGGGCCCGCACAAGCAGUGGAUUAUGUGGUUUAAUUCGAAGCAACGCGAAGAACCUUACCAGGGCUUGACAUCCUGCUAACGAGGUAGAGAUACAUUAGGUGCCCUUCGGGGAAAGCAGAGACAGGUGGUGCAUGGUUGUCGUCAGCUCGUGUCGUGAGAUGUUGGGUUAAGUCCCGCAACGAGCGCAACCCUUAUUGUUAGUUGCUACGCAAGAGCACUCUAGCGAGACUGCCGUUGACAAAACGGAGGAAGGUGGGGACGACGUCAAAUCAUCAUGCCCCUUACGUCCUGGGCCACACACGUAAUACAAUGGUGGACAUACAGAGGGAUGCAAAACCGCGAGGUGGAGCGAACCCCUAAAAGCCAUCUCAGUUCGGAUUGCAGGCUGCAACUCGCCUGCAUGAAGUUGGAAUUGCUAGUAAUCGCGGAUCAGCAUGCCGCGGUGAAUACGUUCCC
rnacentral:rRNA from 1 species